UUUUGGUAGAGUGGGAAAACUGAACCAAAGACAAGGCUACUUAUAGAUAUAUUAGAUUUUAUUGAGAAUUGUUUCUCAAAAAGUAGUCUAGCACAACCUACUUAAAAUGCAAUAUCUUUAUAAAGCACUUAAUUACAGUUUUAAUAACCCAUCUCAUCUUCUUGUAUUAUUCUGUUCUCAAGCUCUGACUAUCAGAUCAUCAUCUUCAUAAACAUCAUGAGUCAUGACAAAUAGCCAAUUUCAAGUUCAAACAUAUCCAUCUCAAUCCUCAUCAGGUUCACUCCCGUUUCAAUACUUUUUUUAAUCAGAGACAAUAUAUAAUCAAUAUCCUCAAGAUCCUCAAACAUUCUAAUGGUUUUGGUGUGAAACAUUUGAGUUGCUAGUAAAAAUGUUGUCUAACCAUAACAUCAAUUAAAACUGAACACAUAACAUUAUCAAACAUGAAACGUAUCAGUAAAGCCUAGAUUCGUAGUCACAUUUAAGCAACAAAAAAAAAGACACAGUGAAGGCUUAAAAUUAGGGGUCAGAGCUCUUACUAAUAUUGCAUAAUGAAAAACCAAUUCAAAUCUCUAAACCCUUGAAACAUUAAGAAAUAGUCUCAUAGAUAUCUCUCAUGCAAACGUAAAUAGCAUAAAAGCUACACUAUGACAUUUGCACCGUUUUGGUAAGCAUGCGAUUUUGACGAUUCUGAGCCGAUUUGGGGUUUCGUACGACAUAUGCACUGAGGCUCUCUACCAGAGCUGGCUCCAGGGUUCCGAUGGCAGAUCGGAAUCU
rnacentral:lncRNA from 1 species